rnacentral:rRNA from 1 species
UACGGAGGGUGCAAGCGUUAAUCGGAAUUACUGGGUGUAAAGCGCACGCAGGCGGUUUGUUAAGUCCGCUGUGAAAUCCCCGGGCUCAACCUGGGAACUGCAUCUGAUACUGUCAAGCUUGAGUCUCGUAGAGGGGGGUAGAAUUCCAGGUGUAGCGGUGAAAUGCGUAGAGAUCUGGAGGAAUACCGGUGGCGAAGGCUGCCGCGUGGACGGAGACUGACGCUCAGGUGCGAAAGUGUGGGGAGC